GAUGAACGCUAGCUACAGGCUUAACACAUGCAAGUCGAGGGGCAGCAUGAACUUAGCUUGCUAAGUUUGAUGGCGACCGGCGCACGGGUGAGUAACACGUAUCCAACCUUCCGUUUACUCAGGGAUAGCCUUUCGAAAGAAAGAUUAAUACCUGAUAGUAUGGUGAGAUUGCAUGAUAGCACCAUUAAAGAUUUAUUGGUAAACGAUGGGGAUGCGUUCCAUUAGGCAGUUGGCGGGGUAACGGCCCACCAAACCGACGAUGGAUAGGGGUUCUGAGAGGAAGGUCCCCCACAUUGGUACUGAGACACGGACCAAACUCCUACGGGAGGCAGCAGUGAGGAAUAUUGGUCAAUGGCCGAGAGGCUGAACCAGCCAAGUCGCGUGAAGGAAGAAGGAUCUAUGGUUUGUAAACUUCUUUUAUAGGGGAAUAAAGUGGAGGACGUGUCCUUUUUUGUAUGUACCCUAUGAAUAAGCAUCGGCUAACUCCGUG
rnacentral:rRNA from 1 species